rnacentral:lncRNA from 1 species
GAAAUUGUGUAUUAUUCCUUGGAUGUGGGUUCCGUGAUGUUUAUUGACUUUACUAGUGGUGAGUGAUAAUAGGUUAAAUCUAGGUAAUUUGACGAUUGUUUAUGCUCCCACUUGAUUAUAUUUCAGUAUCAUAAUAUGAUUAAUUGAUGAAAAAUAGGCUCUAAUUGUGAAUUGUAUAUAUUGCAGGAUGAGGAGCCUAGGUGAUGCCUUAAACAGUUGUGAUUGGAAGCAUUUUCGAGCAAGAAAGACCCCUCAGAGCUAAGUACGCUUGAAGACGAGGAAUAGAAGUGAUGAAACACAGAACUGGACAUGCGCGCCCAGGUGCGCGACCGCGCUACUUUUAGCGCGUCCAUGACAGAAUCUCAGCCAAUUAGCGCGGCCAGAUGCGCGUCCAGGUGCGCGGUCGCGCUAGUCCAAAAUACGGGAAGAGUUAUUUAGGGGCAGAAUUGGAAAUCUGGAGGAAAACUCACUUAACCUAUAUAAAGUCAAGCUCGCCCAAGGAAGAGAGGAGAGUUUUUUCAUAGUUUAGUGCAAGAAAUAGAGGGACAAGAGGCAAGGAGGAGA